UCUCACAAUCUUUCCGUUUUCCGAAGCACCAAACGCUGGUUGUGCAACCCUACUGGUAGUCUCUCAUGUGGUAUGAGCCUAUUUUCUAGUUAACCGUUUCUUGGGUUAAUAAAAAUGCCGUAAUGUGAUGUGUUGGAUGGUACAUUUGGUUACUUUCGAUGCGGUACCGGAACGGCUUUAGGACAGAAGGUCGAAGGACCAAUUAAUAGUCGAAGCCUUAUAAGUGAGACACACCAACUGGUAACUUGAUCUACUAAAACUAUUGUCCAUUCGACUUUUUGUCCUUGCACCAUUUGUCCUUCGACCUUAUGUCUUUCGACUUUUUGUCAUAGAUUCACCGGAACAGGUUCCGGAGCACUACCGGGUCUCCCAAAUAUUGUCUGAGACUAUUUCAUUGCUAACGUUCACCUUUAGUAGGUAACCUACUACCUGUUAUCAAAAAAGCUGCUAUUUGAUGCACUGUCAAACCCCUCGUAUUCAUCACUCUUUACUACGACACUUUUUAAUUCGUACUUAGCUCUUUCGGCAUUUGUCGAAUUUAAAAAUGAUCAAAUGUCACAGUGUAAUACACUGUAAAUACAAAUGAUCCGAUAUUGUGCUGUUACUCAUACCCGCAGCGGCUCCUCGUGCAGCUGCUACUUCCGGAAGUUAAAAUUUGGUGGUAUCUGACACCUGAUCCGUUUGGUGAUCAACUGCAGUGAACUUUGGAAGCCAACAAACGUGAAAUGAACAAGCUAUCAAUUCGUAUCACCUCAAUAUCUGCAGGAUUUGUGUUCAGAAACAAAUCGUACAAUCUAAAAAAAACUAAUUUAGAGCUUGUAACGAGGUUACAGUAUUUUAAUGUAACCUUUUAUUACAAAAUAUAUAGAUGGCAAUGAAACCCAAAAUGAUAUUAUUUCCGUGUAGGCUUACCCGCGUUCCAUGUCUCUGAUCCCAUAUAAGUUGCGAUUCUACAGUAAAGGCCUGGUCAAAACUAAAGAUUUGCGUUCCUAAAAGGAAGUACACGAAAAACACCGAACAUUUACGAGCUCGGGUAUCGUCGGUCAAGGGCAUAAGUCCAACAUUCUGAACAAUCCAGUCUCUUAAGUCUAAACCACCGAACAGUUAAGACACGGCAGUGCGACAUAGAAGAAAAAGUUGAACUAUUAAUUUUGUAGAGCUAGUCGAUGAUUGGAUUAUUUCUGGUGUAAAGUAGUGAGGGCGAAUCCCAAAACUGAAAAGUUAGAAAAACGUGCUUUUCGAGAAGAAAGAAAGCUAUUGUGAAUCCUCGUUUAAUAGUAAUCAGACUUUCCUUCAAGUGAAGGUCCACCCCUAGGACGUAGUGGUAACCGUCCAAAGUCACGGCCACCGACGAUAUUCGUCGAAGCAUGUUGGGCCGAUGAGCAUUGUGCCAGUGCAGCAUAACAACAUCGCGAGCAUCGAGCAUCGAUGUUGCCAGUGACAGGUCAUUCUAGCCAAGCCUUCAACCUCCGUUACCUCCGUUGACGGAUAUUCACCACUAGUCCGAACGUACCGCUACGGGGUGAUGUGACGUUCACCACGUGACGCAACAUAUGGUGGUUCAGUUGCCGCUAUCCGCCGAGAGAGGGCCGCGGAAAGCAUAAAACCGCACACGUGCAGGCUACCCGAUCAAAAAGGUGACACCCUGAAGAGAACGUGUUUCGGUGGCAGGAUUCCGUGCGAGUAAAGGAAAGAUUCGCAUUGUCAGAAAGGAGAAGGAGAAAGGAAAAGAGGAUCGUACAGUGAGAAAAGAACAAGUUAGAAAAACGUGCUUUUCGAGAAGAAAGAAAGCUAUUGUGAAUCCUCGUUUAAUAGUAAUCAGACUUUCCUUCAAGUGAAGGUCCACCCCUAGGACGUAGUGGUAACCGUCCAAAGUCACGGCCACCGACGAUAUUCGUCGAAGCAUGUUGGGCCGAUGAGCAUUGUGCCAGUGCAGCAUAACAACAUCGCGAGCAUCGAGCAUCGAUGUUGCCAGUGACAGGUCAUUCUAGCCAAGCCUUCAACCUCCGUUACCUCCGUUGACGGAUAUUCACCACUAGUCCGAACGUACCGCUACGGGGUGAUGUGACGUUCACCACGUGACGCAACAUAUGGUGGUUCAGUUGCCGCUAUCCGCCGAGAGAGGGCCGCGGAAAGCAUAAAACCGCACACGUGCAGGCUACCCGAUCAAAAAGGUGACACCCUGAAGAGAACGUGUUUCGGUGGCAGGAUUCCGUGCGAGUAAAGGAAAGAUUCGCAUUGUCAGAAAGGAGAAG